GGGCUUGUUUGGUUUUGACAGCGAGAGAUGUGGUAUGUAAGCAUGCAGUGCGUCAGUGAUUUGCACUAUAAUCUCAGUUACUGAACAAUUAUCUGGCAACGAAAACUAUGCUCUCGCUGCUUAAUCGAAGUACAGUAGAUUAGCUUUAUUUCCGUCAAAGUGAUGGAAACGAGACAUCGCUCAAAAGCUCUUGUUCCGAAGCGUUUGGUUUAGCGGUGCAGCAAAUUCGUAUAAGUGGGUGGCUCUGGUCUUGCUUAUGCACGAAAACCGAAGGCAGAGAUAAGCAUGUAGAAAGCAUAUGGCUUCCUUGUUUGGACGAGGGUUCGACUCCCUCCAGGUCCACAG
rnacentral:tmRNA from 1 species